GUAUGGCAGUGAAGGGAUCAGUUAAUAUUAUGAGGGAUAAUCAAAACUAUGAAGACUCGUGGCAGCUUGCAGGGCAGAGUCUUGUUUGAGGAUGGUGUGUAUCUUAGUGAGUGGAGGCGGGGAGUGUUUCUUUUCCGUCUCUGGAGCAGCAGGCACAUGGGUUAUGUCCUGCUAUGCCCAGUGGGAGGCACAAGCAGGCGCAGGUGACGUCACUCCACUCGUGUGUCGUGUGGUGUAUUGGCAAGUGUGAGGGAUUCAUUGUUUGUCACAACUGCGCAUCAAGAGGCCGAGGGCCUCGCAGUGGUGCCACUUUUUUCUUGACCCUGACCCACCACCACCACCACCACCACUGAGGCGUCACUUGGUUGUGAUGCGCGUGUCUCUAGGGCGACUGCGAUUCAUCAUUAGUAUUAUUGUUGUUAGUAAUGAUCCAAGUGGAAGCUUAAUGUGCUGUGUGGCAAGAUUUAACUCACACCUACACAUUGCAAGGGAUAAAAUACAUACGCUUAUCUUUUUUUUUUUUACUUCUGUUUUGUUCGUGUGUGACUUAUCAAUCAGCGUCUUAGGGGCUCAGUGACAUUUAUCUGAUAUCGCCUGAUAGGUUCUCGUCCUAAUCGACUUUUUACACGAGUUUUGAAGUUCCAUCAUUUUAGUCCACAGGGAAUUUCUUGGUGUAGGAUCAUGCACUCGUCUUCAGCGUAAAUCUCGGCUUUUUUUUUUUUUUUGCAGGUUUUGGUGAAAGUUGCCAGUGUUUUAAGAAUGUUUUCGUGAUUUUAGUGAUAGUUCAGCAAAGAAUUCGCAUCAUCAAUAAGAAAAAAAAAAAAAUCCAUGAGAACCUGACUAACCCUUUUUUUUGAUGUACGUAGGACCCACGUGCCACAUCGCAGUUAGCCAGUGUUACAUAAUAGUUCUAGUAAACAAGAAUGUAAAGAGACACUAGACAGUACCAGUAUACAAAAUAUGAUGCUUCGUUGAUUUAGGAACAUAAGAACAUAAGAAUAUAAAAACAUAAAACAUACCUGCCUGUUUUCACCUAUCAUCCUCAUCCAUAAAUUUAUAUAAUCUUUUAAAACCCCCAAGUGACUCAGCACUAACAACUUGAUGACAGAGUAUUCCAUUCAUCUGCCAUCUGCCCAAGUGCCUUCCCAUCUUCUGUGAAGUCUAACCUUAUCAAGCUUGAACCCAUUAUUUUUUGUCCUGUCUUGCUUACUGACCAUGAGAAUAUUGCUUAUGUCAUCUUUGUUAUAUUCCCUACGUCAUUAAAAGACCUCUGUCGAAUAACGUCUUAAUCUACACCUCUUCAGUAAUAUAAUGAACUAUUUGAUAGAUGGCAGCUAGUUUAGAUAGAUAGUAGAUGAUAUCGACUGCUUGACAAAUAGCGGAUCAUAUAAACUACUUGAUAGAUAGUAAAUGAUAUAGACCCAUAGGUAGAUAAUAGAUGACAAACUACCGAAUACAUAAGUAAAAGAUCUUAUGACAACGUAAUUUUAUUUUGUUUUUUAAUUUUCAAUCCUAUAGCAGUGACAACCUAUGUUGACAUUCACACACACACACAUACACACACACACACACACACAGGAAGAGGAGGCGGUGGGAGAGGAGGGGAAGGAGGAGGAGAAAGAGGAGGAGGAGGAGGAGGAGGAGGAGGAGGGGGAGAGCCUGUGACAAGAACCAUAAGACCGUAGGAAUAUUUAACCUCACACUCAUUCCUUCUCUUCGGGGAAAACAGGAUGUGGCGUCGCUGUGAUGUUGACAGUGAAGGCUAAAGGCCGGUUCACACGAUCAUGCUGCAUGACAGGCAGCAUGAAACAACUGCAUGAAGCGGAUGCAUGAUUAGAAAGAAUGAUCGUGUGAACCCCGUUUUUGGCAUGACAUGCAGCAUGAACACGCGGCAUGACGAAUGAAGGGAAAUCCUGUGAGCAAGGGGCGGAGCUGGCAUGGCCUGAAGUAUGGCAUGACCGAGUGAACGUCAGUCAUGCAAAUUGCGUCAUUCUUGCCAGUAUUUGUGAACAGUACACAAGCUCUUAUCUUUGAUUAAUAUAGUUGUUUUCUUGUUUUUCAGUGCAAUGGAUAAGCAAAACGAAAAAGAUAAUACAUUAGAAUUUAUUUCCAUGUAUAGAAAUCAUGAGUUCGACCCUAAAACAAGUAGGGUAGCACGUCGCUUAAUUAAUGAGGUUCUAGACGCUGCAGAAGGAGGAGAGCUUAGUAGCAAUGUAAGCCUAAACUUUAAUAAUGUAACAUUUAAGCCUUCAGAUAUUGUUCAAAAUGUUUCAAACCAAGUUACGUCACCUCAUGUUAUGAUACAAUCCCAACAAUACUCCAAUUACAAUGAUGCCCCCCAAAUCCGAGGGUCAACAUCCAUUAGUGAACCUCCCCUUACCCCAAAUGUAGGCAAUGAUCCACAAAAUUUAGGUUGUUAUUUCGCGAAUUUCACUCCUCUUUGAAGAUGUUUUUCAGAAAAGACUUGUUUCAUUUGUAUUUAUGAUGAUAUACAUGUCCGUGCUUAAAGGAUAUUUUUCUAAAAGUAGCUUUGCAGAUUUAUUAUGUUUUUGCAACAUGUACUUAUUUACAUCAAUAAUGUAAAGUGAAGGAACUCAAUUUGGUUAUUUUUGAAGGAUACUUUUCUAAAAGUAGCAUUGCAGAUUUAUUAUGUUUUUGCAACAUGUACUUAUUUACAUAAAUAAUGUAUAUUAAAUGAAGUAAAUUAUGUUUUUGGUUAAAACGAAGUGUUUCACAGUGCCUUUACAGGAAAUAUAUAAGGUAUUUCUCAUAAGCAAUGACUAAUCAUUAAUUCAAAUGUUUAUUGAAAUAAACGUUGACUUACCUGUAAAAAUUCACCUCUCAGGACGUGGAAUAUUGCGUUGCAUGUUUCAGGGAUGAUUUCUGAUAAUGUUGAGGUGCCCAUUCGUGAGGAGUAUCGUAAAUCUUUCAGAGAACGUCCUGUUGCCAGGAACCGUAGUGUCGCACUUAAACGUUCAUGGGGAGUAAUGGCUUCCCUCAUGUUAGUAUUUUCACGUUUGAUAUAAGGUGACACAAGUUCCAACAAAUUGUUAUAGGUACCUUCAUCCAUUCUGAGGUAGUUCCUCCAGUCGUCUGUCUCACACUGCAAUUCAUUCAUUAAGUUUGUGUGCGAAUGUUCUUUUCGGGCAAUCCAUGCCUUGACCCAUCUCCUUUUCCGUUGGCGUGAAGAAUUUUUUUUCUCUCUUAAAAUUAUUGCCAAACCAAGCGCAAUUGCAUCAUCACGAGAAAGAGACAUUGUGCCGCAACCACCGCUAGAUCUUGCACUGAAUGACGAUAGGUGUGAUUCGUCCGAACGCGCUUCAUGCAUCUACUUCAUGCAGUUGUUUCAUGCUGACUGUCAUGCAGCAUGAUCGUGUGAACCGGCCUUAAGACACAGAGCAGAGGAGUAAAAUAAAGGAUAGGAAGGAGUGGCGAGUGGAGGCUCUUAUGAUGCAGGUUAAGAAUACUUGAGGGGAAAAGCAAUGGGGAGUGAAAUGAAGAGCAUGAAUAUAUUAGAGAAAGGGGGAAAGAGGUGAAGGUUAGGAAGAGGAAAGGUAAGUAGGGAAGUGAGGAUAGAAUGAGGUUAAGGCGAUUGCUACUACUACUACUACUACUACUACUACUACUACUACUACUACUACUAUUCUUAUACUAUGUUUCUUUUGUAGAGGCAAGGUGUUCUUCAUACACAAUAUGUCGUUCCUUUAGUUCAUUGCUCAAGCUUAUGUAGUACGAUGCUGGGAAACGCGUGGAGAGGACCAACGUGUGUACUGUAGUAAGGAUAUAGUCUCUAACUGACUGAGAAGGCAGGUGUGAGUAGGGAUGAAGUAAGUUUGGCGGCUGAGAGAUGAGGUUGCUAAUCUAAUCCAGGUGUCAGCUCUUCUGUGUGUGUGUGUGUGUGUGUGUGUGUGUGUGUGUGUGUGUGUGUGUGUGUGUGUGUGUGUGUGUGUGUGUGUUUCAGACGAAGAGUUGCAAGAACACUUCUCAAAACUAUCUGAAGGAAAUGAUAAUGAAAGCUUGAACGAGGUCCUUGAGAAAUACUGUGUAAAUAUACCAUUGUUAGAUAAUAAUAUAACUGUUUAUGAAAUACAGCAGGGAAUAAGUAACUCAAAGCUGGGUAAAGCAAGUGGGCUUGACGGUGUUUGUCCCACGAUAAUAGAAACUUUGUCUGUCAACUGGAUAAUCACUCUAGCUUCUUUGUUUAAUGUAGUUUUCACAGCAGGUUCCUACUCAACCUCUUGAGCCAUGACUAAAAUGUUUACCGUAUUUAAAAGUGGAUCGAGGAAAAAUUGAAAGAAUUAUCGCCCAAUAAUAGUGAAUAAUGGAUUCACUAGCUAAAUUGUACGACAUGAUUAUAUAUGACCGUUUAAAUCUGUGGUACACUCCGUUUAGAGAACAAGCGGGCAACCAAAAAGAAUGGGAUUGUGUGGAACACAUAGUCGCACUGCGUUUAAUUACAGAUUAGUGUAGACGCAUGAAACUGUUAUUGUAUGUGUCAUUUGUAGACUUCUGCGUAUGAUCACGUUCCAAGGCGAAGGUUGUUUAUGAUGUUACGUGGGUUAGGGUGCGGCGCGGUGAUGCUGAUGGCGCUAAUAGCCACGUACUCUUUGACUCGCAGCGUCAUCACUGCCACGAUAGUUAUAAGGCAAGGGUUGCCUACCUCAUGCCUGCUCUUUGUACUGUUGGUAAAUGAUCUUAUAGGUUUAAUCAAGGGCAGGUGUGGCUGAGAUGGGAUCCUUCAAUGGUUGUAUGUAUUAAUGUAUAUGGAUGAUAUGGUGCUUCUGUCUACUACAAGGGAAGGCAUGAUGACUAAGUUAAGGUUGCUGCAGGAUUGGUGCAUUAGCAAUGGUAUCAACGUGAAUGCAAAUAAGACAAAUUUUUUCGCUAUUAAUGAUACUGUACGAUAUCGUAUGCCUUUUAUUUUGGAUUAUUUUAAUGUAGAGUGGUGUGGCAAAUGCACGUAUUUAGGAAGCCCUUUCACUUGCGAUGGCAAACCAUCAUCAGCUGUCUUUGAAUACGCGGGGAUGAAAACAUGCCAUUUGUUGAAAUUUAUAUCCUUUGUUAAUAAGAACAGAAGUAUCCCGUUUUAUACAAAGAAACAUAUUUUUGGUGCGGCAUUAGCUACUUUUAUUUUAUUCGGUUGUGAAUCUUGGUUGUUUUCUGAUUUAAGACCUAUUGUCGAAAUAUACAUUAUGGGUAUCAAAGCACUGUUUGGAGUUAGGAUGACAACGUGUAAUGAGAUGUGCUACAUGGAGCUUGGCUACGUGCCCUUGUGCUGGUGUGGGGACACACGCCCACACCCUUGCCGCCUAUAUACCUUGGCGCGCCUUCCCCCCCUUGGGAAUUGAUGGACCCGGCCAAUCUCGCCUUUGUCCCCUACCUGAUCCAGCCUGGCCACCUCGCUUAUCACCGCGUGGGAGUGAGGUCAACCCUCAUCCCAUUGUCCCCGGACGCCAUCCCCGUCCGUGACCGGUUUAAUACAGAAAUCAUCACAGUAAAAUUUUUACUAUCGUCUAUCAUUUUAAUGUUUGGUAUUUUCCUGGUUAUUCCCGCCAAUACUUGGUCAAGAUUAUAUUAUUAGAUAGGGUUAUAACGUUUUGUUUUUAUGGUCCUUCAAAAUUAGGGUUAUAAUUUUAAUCAACUAUUUUAGUUGAUUGAUUUUUUUUACUUCUAACUUUUAUCAAUACCUUUCUUAAUCCUGUUUGAAAUUUAAUUGUUUUAUUAAUGAUCAAAGUAUUAAAUAUUUAAUUAUACAUAAAUUUAUAGAAGGUGUUCACUGCUGUAUUUCAUUAGAACUGAUAUUAUGUAUAAGGUAUGUAUCAUGUAUUGUGUAUGCAUUAUGUAUUAUGUAUGUGUUAUGUAUUACGUAUAUAGGUAUUAUGUGUUUAUUUGAUUAAAUUAAAUGGACCACGAUAGUUCUUUCACGCCAUGCAUAUGUUAAACUAUGUUACUUUAUAAUAAUAAUUAUUCAGUUAUGUAAAUCUGAACUUGUGGUCAAUAAACUUAUCAAUAUUA